UGAUCAUGGUUCUAUUCCCCAUCUUCAAAGUGAAAAUUGGGCCAUAUUUUGGCCUAAGCUCUCUCACAUACUGAAAAAAUUGCUUCCCAGAGCGAGCAAAUUGGAAGAGGUUUCCAACAAUAGGCCAACCAGGGGGUCCCGGAGGAAGGUUUAGCUUCUUUGACUUGGUUUUACGUGACAGCAAGACGAUCAGACCUGAUAUGAGGAAGGCUAAAGCAGUGAAGAAGAUGUGGUAGUAAGGAGAAUAAGUCGAAGAAGCAGCAGCAAAAGCAGGAGCCAUGGAGAUGGUGUUGAGACAGAGAAAGAGA
rnacentral:lncRNA from 1 species